rnacentral:rRNA from 1 species
AGAGUUUGAUCCUGGCUCAGAUUGAACGCUGGCGGUAUGCUUAACACAUGCAAGUCGAACGGUAACAGCAGAGCUUGCUCUGGCUGACGAGUGGCGGACGGGUGCGUAACGCGUGGGAAUCUACCUUAUAGUGGGGGAUAGCCCGGAGAAAUCCGGAUUAAUACCGCAUAAGCCCUAAGGGGGAAAAGGGGCCUCUCCUUGGAAGCUCUUGCUAUUAGAUGAGCCCGCGUAAGAUUAGCUUGUUGGUGGGGUAAUGGCCUACCAAGGCGACGAUCUUUAGCUGGUCUGAGAGGAUGAUCAGCCACACUGGGACUGGGACACGGCCCAGACUCCUACGGGAGGCAGCAGUGGGGAAUAUUGGACAAUGGGCGCAAGCCUGAUCCAGCAAUACCGCGUGUGUGAAGAAGGCCUGAGGGUUGUAAAGCACUUUCAAUUGUGAAGAAAAGCCUUAAAUUAAUACUUUAGGGUCUUGACGUUAACUUUAGAAGAAGCACCGGUUAACUCCGUGCCAGUAGUUGUGGUAAUACGGAGGGUGCAAGCGUUAAUCGGAAUUACUGGGCGUAAAGCGCACGUAGGCGGUUAGGUAAGUCAGAUGUGAAAGCCCCGGGUUUAACCUGGGAACUGCAUUUGAUACUGCUUAACUAGAGUAUAGUAGAGGCAAGUGGAAUUCCAGGUGUAGCGGUGAAAUGCGUAGAUAUCUGGAGGAACAUUAGUGGCGAAGGCGACUUGCUGGACUAAUACUGACGCUGAGGUGCGAAAGCGUGGGGAGUAAACAGGAUUAGAUACCCUGGUAGUCCACGCCGUAAACGAUGUCAACUAGCCGUUGGGAGCAUUUAAGCUUUUAGUGGCGCAGCUAACGCAUUAAGUUGACCGCCUGGGGAGUACGCGCGCAAGCGUAAAACUCAAAGGAAUUGACGGGGGCCCGCACAAGCGGUGGAGCAUGUGGUUUAAUUCGAUGCAACGCGAAGAACCUUACCAGCCCUUGACAUCCUGCGAACUUUCUAGAGAUAGAUUGGUGCCUUCGGGAACGCAGUGACAGGUGCUGCAUGGCUGUCGUCAGCUCGUGUUGUGAGAUGUUGGGUUAAGUCCCGCAACGAGCGCAACCCUUGUCCUUAGUUGCCAGCAUGUAAUGGUGGGAACUCUAAGGAGACUGCCGGUGAUAAACCGGAGGAAGGUGGGGAUGACGUCAAGUCAUCAUGGCCCUUAUGGGCUGGGCUACACACGUGCUACAAUGGCAAGUACAGAGGGCUGCAAUCCCGCGAGGGGGAGCCAAUCCCACAAAGCUUGUCUUAGUCCGGAUUGGAGUCUGCAACUCGACUCCAUGAAGUCGGAAUCGCUAGUAAUCGUAGAUCAGCAUUGCUACGGUGAAUACGUUUCCGGGCCUUGUACAUAUCGCCCGUCACACCAUGGGAGUGGGUUGCAAAAGAAGUGGGUAGCUUAAUAAUGGGCGCUCACCACUUUGUGAUUCAUGACUGGGGUGAAGUUGAAACAAGGUA